GCUGAUCGGUUCAGGGCAGCCGUGCCACAGAGUAGCAGUUGCACGACUGAUACUUGUAACGGGGUUCCUCGUGGGUAGCCUUUAUUUUGCGUGGGUUGCGUGUUGAACUGCUGGGUAGUUAGUUUGGUUUGACAUUUCCUGAAGGUCUAGGCAAAGAUUAAAAGAAGGAGCGGACUUAAAGAGAAGUAUGUAUUAUUUUGUCAUGCCAUGUUGCUGUUUGAAACCUGGGUUGAUUAUUGGUGAUAUUCAAGAAAUUGCCGAGACUUAGAGGGCAAAUCUUGAUGUGCUGAGCGGAAGAGUGCAAUGGGUCUGUUUGGUUGCCAGGUGGCUUUCUUGACCCAUGUGGCCAGUUUAUGAAGCUUACACUGCACGCCUGAGAGAGUGAGAGAGAUCCCCUCCCUCCUUAAAUAAUGACCGUGACGCUAAUGGGAUGAAAUACUCGUAUCGAUCAGCCUGGAUGUCAGUCCAGCUCUGUCCCAUCUCUGUCCCCCUUCCCCGAUACGUCACAUCUGUGGGCAGAGCAGUCAGAAUGCCCUUGGCUCUCAGACCGGCGCAAUUAACACCCCAGCACAGAGCUAAUGUUUUUAUCUCGUGUUCUCAAACUAAUUGAAAGGUUUCUAACUCCAUGAAGAAAAUGAGUUCACUUUCAGUCAAACCCGCACAGUUCCGGGCACGGAGCCCUCAGGGCUCUGUCAGGGCUUUCUUUUCUCUUCUGCCUUCCCUUCCCUUCCCCCCUGCCCGUCCCCUUUCCCUCUCCCUUCCUUCACCCUUCCCUCAAAACCACUUUCCAGGACACAAAACGCAAUGGAUACAAGUGUUUCUAUUUUAUUUUAUUUUAUUUUGUUUUAUUUUAUUUUAAUUUACUUCAUUUUAUGUUUUUUCGUGUUCUGUUAUUCCAUGUCAUUUCCGUUUCUCACUCUUUUUCAGAGCCAAUGCUCACAAUCCUUAACACAAGCCCACGUGUAGCCAGGAGCAGGCUGAUGCAUUCUUCAGUUUAGCUUGAACAAACAGCCCUUGCGGGCUGGCAAAGGCAAGUCCCAGAGCUGCAGAGAGCAGCAGCAGGAAUGGAGGCCAAGCUUUGCCAGGUUCCUGAAGAGGGAGGACCUUGAGAAUGAGGCGCGGGACUGACCAUGCACCAAAGAAGAGCCCCGUUACGAAUUCCUGCCCAAACCUGGGAAGAAGAAACAAAAUGCCAGAGAUUACUGAAUGCACCAAGAAGACACAGCAGACAUGACGGAGGAAAACAGCAAGAGGGGAAGGAGAGGAGGAGCAGAGGACACGUAAGCAAACAAGAUCCUUGAAUCUCACCCCAUCCGAGGAGUGAUAGAAGGGUUCCCAAAGACCAGGCUCUGAAUCAAAAGCAUACCUCGUCAGCUUCUGUCUCCAAGUCUCUCAUUUGCUGCUCGGCCUCAGGUCUGCUCUGACAGUAGGCCACACUUCUCUGCCUCAUUUCAGCAUCUGGAUGCUUCAGAAGAAAUGUGUGAGCUGCUGCAAUAGCCUUUGCAAGGCAAGGUGCAGGUCCCACGGUGUCCUUUGGUCUCCGACGUUCUCCAGUGGCGUCCUGUGGUUUCCAGCGGCCUUCUUCAGUCUCCCACGGUCUCCAGCGGACUUCUCUGUGCCUGCAUUUAUAGCUGUUAUUGUCUAUAUGUAUAUAUUUUUCUAAACUAUAUUGUCCAUAGACACACAUAUAGGGAGAAGGAGAGAGAAAACCAAAGUCUUAAUUGUUUGCUGAAAUGUGAAAACCUUCUUCCUUUUUAAACCAAGACACAGAGCCAAUGGUGUCCUGUGGUUUCUAGCGGUGUCCUUCGGUCUCCGGACAGUCUCCUGCAAUCUCCAGCAAUCUCCGGUGGUCUCCUGUGGGCUUCCGUGUGCACACAUUUAUCGAUUUAAUUUUCUAUUUUUACAUGUCUUUAUAAACUAUACAGUCUGCAUACACAUAUAUAGGGAGAAGGAGAGAAAAUUUGCCUCCGUUUUUAACGCAAACAUUUGUCCAAAGGUGUAAGAACCAUGUCUUUGAAUUCCCACAAUUCCUUCCAACAGACGUUUUAUUUACUUCAAAAGAACCACCCUCAGAGGAGGAAUCCCGCCACGGCACUAUGGGACGAGGAGCAGGAACAGAGGUAACAUAGGACCCAUCUCAAGUUUGUUUCCACAACUCUCCCCAGGCACAGGAUGUUUCGGAAAGAUGGACCCAAUUGGAAAUCACUCUGCGUGUGAAAUUGGGACCGUGUUUUUGAAACACGCUGUAGUAUUGCUGGAGACACAUGCCCUGGUCCCUCUGCUUCCAAAUUUGCACGAAGCCUUGUAUCAAGUCCCAAGCUCCAUUCAAGAGAGUCUGGUUAGGCACUGGCAAAAACAGUGAAGAAAGGAAAACGAAUAUCCAAAAAAUCCCCAAACGUAUGCAUAUGACCAACCAUACAUCAGUAAAAAGAAAUCAAUAAUUCAAUAAAGAACACUGAUAGUCAACAGAAAACGAAGGGACAAUCCACCGGGUGCUGAUCCAGUGCUCUUUCCCGUGCUGUACUCUUUGCAUUUCAUUAGUGGCUUCGCGGUUGUUCCUGUCACCUGCCUGCGCUGACUGGCACAGUCCCUGUCACUGCCCCAGCGGGCACUUCAUCCCCCUCUGCUGCCGGAUGGCACAGCAGCCCUGCAGCUCCGCAGCGAGUCAAGCCCAGCGUUGCAUCUCCCUGCCCUGGUCACGGCGAAGGGCUCCUGUGCCCAGCCCAGCAGGGCAGCGGCAUCAGGUGCUUGCAAAGGUUGCAUUUCGCUCCAGGAGCCGAAAGCCGAGUUGUUGGGAGUGACCUGGGAACUCGGCUCGUUUGAGAGCCCAGCCUGCAGCCCCGGGACAGCAGCAGCUGUCUGUCCCUCCUCUGAGAGGCGGGGGCGUUUCUGGAGGGAGCGUCACCCUCCGAGGCAGAGGACAGAGCUUAUGAAGGCUCGGUGCUUCUGGACUCUGACCCACCACAGGAUGUGCAAUGGCCGUGGAAGUGGAAACACCGAUUUUCUUUAGUGCUGUAGUGUGGAGAAUGCAAAACGUGUUUGAAGAGACAGUGCUUUUUUGGCUCCAAGCCAAUUCUAGGGAUGUUCAAGCGUUUCCGGAAACGGGUGUUCUUGCCACAACCUUCUUGUGAGUUAAUGAGAAAAUAGGGUGGGAAAAAAAUCAGCACAUCAAGUAGCUGUGACACACAGCACGGAAAAGUCUCCACCGGCCACUCCACGCACAAGAAAAAGCCCGAUGGAAGGGCGGGGUGGCACAUCGGGGCCACCGGGCUGUCGGCAGCGGUUGUAGCGGCGGCAGCUCCAGGGGGCUGCCCGGCUGGAGAAGAAGGGACAGGGGGCGGGAAGAGUUUUUCCUCCAACUCUCUCUCGGGAGCAGCCAAACCGCGCGACUCCCGCUCGUUCCCGCGUUUACCGGAACACGGGGCGGGUCCGAGGAGCGACGGCUCCGCCAUCCGCUCGUCGGGGCUGCUGGGUCGGUCUUUGCGGGAGGCGGCUCUCCCGGUGCCCGGGCUGGGCUGCGCUGGGGUCCGUCUUGUGCCCGGCGGGCGGGCGGGCGGGGAGGGCGAGGCCGCUUGUGGGCACGCGUGGGUGGCGGGGCCGGCGCCGCCGCUUGGCGGGCAGCUGGAGCGGGGGCAGCGGGUGUGCCCGCCGGGUCCGGCGGUGUCGGCCGGUACGGGAAAAUCCCUUAGAAGAUGGUUCAGACUUAGCCAAUGCUCACAAUCCUUAACACAAGCCCACGUGUAGCCAGGAGCAGGCUGAUGCAUUCUUCAGUUUAGCUUGAACAAACAGCCCUUGCGGGCUGGCAAAGGCAAGUCCCAGAGCUGCAGAGAGCAGCAGCAGGAAUGGAGGCCAAGCUUUGCCAGGUUCCUGAAGAGGGAGAACCUUGAGAAUGAGGCGCGGGACUGACCAUGCACCAAAGAAGAGGUAUGUGGUACUGUGGGAUCUUUUCCAAAGCAUCACAUGUAGCGAUGGCGAGCAGAUGUUUUGCCUUGCACACCUUGUUUGGCUGCUGUGCUUCUUGGGCAGGGUGCACGAGAAGCGCUCUGGUCCCUGCCAGGCGCUGGUGUUGCCCGCAGGGAGAGGUGCCGAGCGGCAGCUGCGAAUCCUUCCUGUUCCUGACAGGACACCAGUGGCUGCUCCAAAGCACUGGGUCCCCAUGCAACAUCUCUGCGUGCUGCUUCCUACAUCUGCCUUCUUGGUCUGUAACUUGCUUGGGUUUUGCUUGUUUCUUUCUACCUUGUUUGGUGUUCUGUUUCUGUUGUUGAUGUUGUUUCCAUUGUUGUUUUGGUUUUGUUGGGUUUUUCUAAGUUGGUUUCAUUUGGUUGGUUUAGGUCAGUUUAUACGUUUUUAAGUUUGGUUGAGGUAGGGGGUCUUAGAUUGCUUGUUUCAGGUUUGAUGGUUGAGCUUGGUUUCGGUUGGUUAGUUUAGGUGGGUUGGUUUAGGCUGUGUGAUGUGAUUUUCUUACCGCUGAUCUAUGUUGUUUAGCUUUGGAGGUUUACUUUUCUUGGUUUUGCUGGGUUCUUUGGUUGGUGCUGUUUUCUGACGCUUCUUUAGCACUGGUUGCGUUAGUUUGGUUGAGGUUUCUGGUUUUACGAGCUUGGUUCAGUUUGUUGCGGUCGUUUGAGGUUGGUUUGAGGCAGGUUCUUUGAGGGUGGUUGUGAGAGGCUGGUUGUCGAAGGCUGGUGGGUUCAGGUUGCUUGAUGUAGGUGAUUUUUGGUUGAAGGUGUCUUCCGUUGGUUGUUGUAGGUGGCGUAUCUGAAGCUGUUUUCGUUGAGGCCGUUUUCAGUAGUUUGGUUUAGGUUUGUUUAGAUGAUUUUAAGUUGGUUGGUUAUUUUAGGUUGUUUGUUUUCAGUAGGCAGUUUAGGUGGGUUGGUGGGUGUCUGUGUUUUCAGGUAGGUUGGUUUCGGCAGGUUUGGUUUACAUUGUUUAGGUUGCCUGAAGGGUUUCUGUUGAGGUUGGUUCAGGUUGUUUGGUUUAGGUUGGUUUAGUUCCUUUUUGGUAGGUUGUUUUAGGCAGUGUUUUUUACGUUGCAUGUUUGAAGAUGGGUUCCUUCAGGUUGGGGUGGUUUAGAUUGGUUGUUGAGGGUGCUUUAGGUGCUUUGGUUAGAUUUACAUGGUGUUUUGUUGGUUUUAGGUUGUGUCUGGAUGAUUUGGAUGUGACUGCAAUCUCGCUGGGACAUGCGUCCCCCCACUAAUCACCAGGCUCGAUGGGGCUGUUUGUGCUGUCUCAGCAGAUGUCCCCGUCCUCCUUCCCUGCUCCACGUGUUUCCCUGCCUUGCUCAAAGAGGACGACCUUCCCCGCUAGAGGCGAACCAUUGCUAGGUCAAGGGGAUACGGUAGCUGCGCUGUGCUUGAGAACCUCCAAACAAGCUCAGGGUCCAUUUGUAGGAGAACCUGGGGUAGUCAAGCUUCCAAGACUGCAGACACAUCCAAGUGAGACACUGCAUGGGGUAGGGUGGCUGGUGGUUGGAGUUUGGUUGUUGGGGUUUUUUAGGGGGUUUUAGCUUCGUUGUUGAAGUUUAGUUGAUUUAGAUUGGUUUUUAGCUUGGCGAUUGUAGGCUGGUUUCAGUGGUUCUAUUUAGCUUUGGGUUGUUUGCUUGAGGUCAUUUUGGUCAGGUUGUGUCAUUCGAUUUCCUGUUUUUGAGGUUGGUUUAGAUGGGUUGCUUUAGGUAGUUUUAUCCUUUAUCAGAUUGUUUUGAAGUUGUUUGAGGUUGUUUAAUGGUUGUUUUAGGUUAAGAUUGGUUGGUUUGGGUUUGUUUAGCUUGUUUGGUUACAGGUUGCUUGAGGUUGGCUGAGAAAUGCCGGUUUAUGUAGUUUUAGAUUGUUUUAGGUAGGAUUUUUUAGAUCAUUUGGUUUGGGUAGGAUUGUUUUAGGGUGUUUAGGUUGGUUUCUUUUGUUUGGUUUAGGUUGGUUUAGGUAAUUUGUCGUAGAUUGUUUAAGGUUCUGCUUAGGUUGUAGGUGGCUGAUUGAAGUUUUUGAAGGCAGACUGGUUUAGGUUGUUUAAGGUUGGUUUAGGUGAGUUGUUCUGUGCUGGUUUAGGUAGGCUGUUCUAGCUAAGUUUAGGGCCAACUGGUGGAGCAGCAGGCGCCCAGCCCAAAUGGCCCAAAGAAGCCGUGGGAAGGGGCCGUGCUCAGCGCUGCAGAGGAAGGCAAAAAGCCUUCCUCCCCCCAGCUGCGGGGCACGAGAGGCCAUCUUCCUGGUGCUUGAGCAGCGGGCAGGAACCGAGCCAAAAGGGCCCAGAGGAGCUCUGCAAAGUGGUCGUGCUCAGUGCUGCAGAGGAAGGCAAAAAACCCCCGGGGACCAGUGCCAAUCUGCCCCGGGGGAAAAAAUUCCUUCCUGACCCCAGUGCUGGCGAUCGGCUGUUCCCUGAGCAUGUGAGCCAGACCUGGCUCCUCAUCCCACAGGCUGCUCACGCCCCCCAGGACCUGCCCAAGCCCUAGCCUAUCUUACCCUGUCCUACCUCGAGCCGGAGCCAUCUCCCGGACUUCCGAGAGUGCCCAAAUGCCUCUGAGCUGAUGGUCCUUGGGGGCAAGACUCCUUCCUGUGCCUGGUGGGACACCAGUGGGUGUUGCAAGCACAGAAGAAAUGCCCUUUGUCUCUCCACUGCUAUCCAGCUCAAAAGGAUUUCCAUCCGUGAGCUGAGCUUGGAAGGUGGCCCUGCCCGCAGAUCACCUUGCAGUGGAGAACCUCCAGCAGCCUCAUGCAAGCUCUUCCUCCCUCAGCCCCUGCCCUGUGAUUCCACCAGCUCCUCAAGUGCUUCCUGUGGGAUGUGUUGCGGCUGCCCCCGGGCCAGCUCUGGCAGUGGACACGGGACCCGGCUGCUCCUUUUGGUCCUGCUCGGGGCAUUGUGAGCGCUGCAUUGCCGGGUGCUGGCAUUGUGACACGGGGGUGACAGAGCCACGCGUGUGCAGUCCCGCCCACCCCAACUCCGCCCAGCACCUUUGGGAGGAAGCCUUUGGGGUGCUGGCCCCAAAUCAGUCCCUGUCAUCUACAAGACAGGGGAGUAAUCAACCUAACCGUGUCCCUCUUUUGCCAAAACACAGUGUGGAUUUGUUGCCAGUCCAGCCUUACUUCCAGUACUUCUUCCUACAGCCCCGUUACGAAUUCCUGCCCAAACCUGGGAAGAAGAAACAAAAUGCCAGAGAUUACUGAAUGCACCAAGAAGACACAACAGAGAUGACGGAGGAAAACAGCAAGAGGGGAAGGAGAGGAGGAGCAGAGGACACGUAAGCAAACAAGAUCCUUGAAUCUCACCCCAUCCGAGGAGUGAUAGAAGGGUUCCCAAAGACCAGGCUCUGAAUCAAAAGCAUACCUCGUCAGCUUCUGUCUCCAAGUCUCUCAUUUGCUGCUCAGCCUCAGGUCUGCUCUGACAGUAGGCCACACUUCUCUGCCUCAUUUCAGCAUCUGGAUGCUUCAGAAGAAAUGUGUGAGCUGCUGCAAUAGCCUUUGCAAGGUUGUGAGCCUAAACAGGGAUGGGAAAAAGCGGAAGGGGGGGAAAAGGGUUAAUGGGGGAAAAAAAAAUCAAAGUUUCCCAGUUUUUUCAACAAAUCGAUUAUUGCUGCAGAUAGCAUAGGUGACGACUUGAAGUUAACAGAAGAGCAUUUUUCCCCUCCACUUGCCCUGUUCAUGAAGCUGACAAGGCAGAAGCAUAUACUGUUGCUCCUGUGUGGGAUUAGUCUCACAGCAAUUACUGAGGCCAGCCUGUGACUGCUGACCAGGAGCCAUCACUGCCCGUGUUUACACGGCGUUCGUGUCACUUCUUGGCCCAGCAGCACGCAAGACAAUAUCCCAAGAACGUAUCUGCCUGAUGGUGUUACAGAGUUCGAGCAAACGGCAGGGACCUGUGUGUGAUCUGCCGCAACAGCUUUUGGAAGGUCGUGAGCCUAAACAGGGGUGGGAAGAAGAGGAAAGGGGAAAGAAAAAGUUAACUGGGAAAAAAAAUCCACGUUUCCCACUUUCUGUCAACGAACUUUCCUGCAGCCUCUCUAUUCCCCAGCUGACAUCUAGGGAAGCCACAGUCUCAGCAGAUACAAUGUUACACUAGAACUGAUACAAAUCUUUCCUGGUUUUUUACUAGAGGAGCAUGUUUUACUAGGAGCGUGUUACUUUUAAUGCCAAAAUCGAUUAUUGUAGCAGAUCGCAUCAUAAUGAUUGUAAGUUCAAAAGACGACUUUUUCUCCCUUCCUCCCGUACUGCAUUUCUAGUAUUUACAGAGGGAGAGAGAAAGGAAAAGGCUGAAGUAUUUGUAAAAUGUUAAGAAACUUUUCCUUUUUUCAGGCAAGGUGCAGGUCCCACGGUGUCCUUUGGUCUCCGACGUUCUCCAGUGGCGUCCUGUGGUUUCCAGCGGCCUUCUUCGGUCUCCCACGGUCUCCAGCGGGCUUCUCUGUGCCUGCAUUUAUAGCUGUUAUUGUCUAUAUGUACAUAUUUUUCUAAACUAUAUUGUCCAUAGACACACAUAUAGGGAGAAGGAGAGAGAAAACCAAAGUCUUAAUUGUUUGCUGAAAUGUGAAAACCUUCUUCCUUUUUAAACCAAGACACAGAGCCAAUGGUGUCCUGUGGUUUCUAGCGGUGUCCUUCGGUCUCCGGACGGUCUCCUGCAAUCUCCAGCAAUCUCCGGUGGUCUCCUGUGGGCUUCCGUGUGCACACAUUUAUCGAUUUAAUUUUCUAUUUUUACAUGUCUUUAUAAACUAUACAGUCUGCAUACACAUAUAUAGGGAGAAGGAGAGAAAAUUUGCCUCCGUUUUUAACGCAAACAUUUGUCCAAAGGUGUAAGAACCAUGUCUUUGAAUUCCCACAAUUCCUUCCAACAGACGUUUUAUUUACUUCAAAAGAACCACCCUCAGAGGAGGAAUCCCGCCACGGCACUAUGGGACGAGGAGCAGGAACAGAGGUAACAUAGGACCCAUCUCAAGUUUGUUUCCACAACUCUCCCCAGGCACAGGAUGUUUCGGAAAGAUGGACCCAAUUGGAAAUCACUCUGCGUGUGAAAUUGGGACCGUGUUUUUGAAACACGCUGUAGUAUUGCUGGAGACACAUCCCCUGGUCCCUCUGCUUCCAAAUUUGCACGAAGCCUUGUAUCAAGUCCCAAGCUCCAUUCAAGAGAGUCUGGUUAGGCACUGGCAAAAACAGUGAAGAAAGGAAAACGAAUAUCCAAAAAAUCCCCAAACGUAUGCAUAUGACCAACCAUACAUCAGUAAAAAGAAAUCAAUAAUUCAAUAAAGAACACUGAUAGUCAACAGAAAACGAAGGGACAAUCCACCGGGUGCUGAUCCAGUGCUCUUUCCCGUGCUGUACUCUUUGCAUUUCAUUAGUGGCUUCGCGGUUGUUCCUGUCACCUGCCUGCGCUGACUGGCACAGUCCCUGUCACUGCCCCAGCUGGCACUUCAUCCCCCUCUGCUGCCGGAUGGCACAGCAGCCCUGCAGCUCCGCAGCGAGUCAAGCCCAGCGUUGCAUCUCCCUGCCCUGGUCACGGCGAAGUGCUCCUGUGCCCAGCCCGGCAGGGCAGCGGCAUCAGGUGGUUGCAAAGGUUGCAUUUCGCUCCAGGAGCCGAAAGCCGAGUUGUUGGGAGUGACCUGGGAACUCGGCUCGUUUGAGAGCCCAGCCUGCAGCCCCGGGACAGCAGCAGCUGUCUGUCCCUCCUCUGAGAGGCGGGGGCGUUUCUGGAGGGAGCGUCACCCUCCGAGGCAGAGGACAGAGCUUAUGAAGGCUCGGUGCUUCUGGACUCUGACCCACCACAGGACGUGCAAUGGCCGUGGAAGUGGAAACACCGAUUUUCUUUAGUGCUGUAGUGUGGAGAAUGCAAAACGUGUUUGAAGAGACAGUGCUUUUUUGGCUCCAAGCCAAUUCUAGGGAUGUUCAAGCGUUUCCGGAAACGGGUGUUCUUGCCACAACCUUCUUGUGAGUUAAUGAGAAAAUAGGGUGGGAAAAAAAUCAGCACAUCAAGUAGCUGUGACACACAGCACGGAAAAGUCUCCACCGGCCACUCCACGCACAAGAAAAAGCCCGAUGGAAGGGCGGGGUGGCACAUCGGGGCCACCGGGCUGUCGGCAGCGGUUGUAGCGGCGGCAGCUCCAGGGGGCUGCCCGGCUGGAGAAGAAGGGACAGGGGGCGGGAAGAGUUUUUCCUCCAACUCUCUCUCGGGAGCAGCCAAACCGCGCGACUCCCGCUCGUUCCCGCCUUUACCGGAACACGGGGCGGGGCCGAGGAGCGACGGCUCCGCCAUCCGCUCGUCGGGGCUGCUGGGUCGGUCUUUGCGGGAGGCGGCUCUCCCGGUGCCCGGGCUGGGCUGCGCUGGGGUCCGUCUUGUGCCCGGCGGGCGGGCGGGCGGGCGGGGAGGGCGAGGCCGCUUGUGGGCACGCGUGGGUGGCGGGGCCGGCGCCGCCGCUUGGCGGGCAGCUGGAGCGGGGGCAGCGGGUGUGUCCGCCGGGUCCGGCGGUGUCGGCCGGUACGGGAAAAUCCCGUAGAAGAUGGUUCAGACUUAGCCAAUGCUCACAAUCCUUAACACAAGCCCACGUGUAGCCAGGAGCAGGCUGAUGCAUUCUUCAGUUUAGCUUGAAGAAACAGCCCUUGCGGGCUGGCAAAGGCAAGUCCCAGAGCUGCAGAGAGCAGCAGCAGGAAUGGAGGCCAAGCUUUGCCAGGUUCCUGAAGAGGGAGGACCUUGAGAAUGAGGCGCGGGACUGACCAUGCACCAAAGAAGAGGUAUGUGGUACUGUGGGAUCUUUUCCAAAGCAUCACAUGUAGCGAUGGCGAGCAGAUGUUUUGCCUUGCACACCUUGUUUGGCUGCUGUGCUUCUUGGGCAGGGUGCACGAGAAGCGCUCUGGUCCCUGCCAGGCGCUGGUGUUGCCCGCAGGGAGAGGUGCCGAGCGGCAGCUGCGAAUCCUUCCUGUUCCUGACAGGACACCAGUGGCUGCUCCAAAGCACUGGGUCCCCAUGCAACAUCUCUGCGUGCUGCUUCCUACAUCUGCCUUCUUGGUCUGUAACUUGUUUGGGUUUUGCUUGUUUCUUUCUACCUUGUUUGGUGUUCUGUUUUUGUUGUUGAUGUUGUUUCCAUUGUUGUUUUGGUUUUGUUGGGUUUUGCUAAGUUGGUUUCAUUUGGUUGGUUUAGGUCAGUUAAUACGAGUUGGUUUUGGUAGGCUUUUUGAGACUGGUUGUUUGACACCGUAUGACGUUGUUGGUAGGUUGUGUGUUGGUAGGUCACUGAAGGCCGGUUGUUUUAGGUUAAGGUUUGUUAAGUUUGGUUCAGGUUGGCGGUCUUAGAUUGCUUGUUUCAGGUUUGAUGGUUGAGCUUGGUUUCGGUUGGUUAGUUUAGGUGGGUUGGUUUAGGCUGUGUGAUGUGAUUUUCUUACCGCUGAUGUGUGUUGUUUAGCUUCGGAGGUUUAUUUUUCUUGGUUUUGCUGGGUUCUUUGGUUGGUGCUGUUUUCUGGUGCUUCUUUAGCACUGGUUGCGUUAGUUUGGUUGAGGUUUCUGGUUUUACGAGCUUUGUUCAGCUUGUUGCGGUCGUUUGAGGUUGGUUUGAGGCAGGUUCUUUGAGGGUGAUUGUGAGAGGCUGGUUGUCGAAGGCUGGUGGGUUCAGGUUGCUUGAUGUAGGUGAUUUUUGGUUGAAGGUGUCUUCCGUUGGUUGUUGUAGGUGGCGUAUGUGAAGCUGUUUUCGUUGAGGCCGUUUUCAGUAGUUUGGUUUAGGUUUGUUCAGAUGACUUUAAGUUGAGACAUGGUCGGCUGGUUGGUUAUUUUAGGUUGUUUGUUUUCAGUAGGCAGUUUAGGUGGGUUGGUGGGUGUCUGUGUUUUGAGGUAGGUUGGUUUCGGCAGGUUUGGUUUACACUGUUUAAGUUGUUUGAAGGGUUUCUGUUGAGGUUGGUUCAGGUUGUUUGGUUUAGGUUGGUUUAUUUCCUUUUUGGUAGGUUGUUUUAGGCAGUGUUAUUUAUGUUGCAUGUUUUGAAGGUGGGUUCCUUCAGGUUGGGGUGGUUUAGAUUGGUUGUUGAGGGUGCUAUAGGUGCUUUGGUUAGAUUUACAUGGUGUUUUGUUGGUUUUAGGUUGUGUCUGGAUGAUUUGGAUGUGACUGCAAUCUCGCUGGGACAUGCGUCCCCCCACUAAUCACCAGGCUCGAUGGGGCUGUUUGUGCUGUCUCAGCAGAUGUCCCCGUCCUCCUUCCCUGCUCCACGUGUUUCCCUGCCUUGCUCAAAGAGGACGACCUUCCCCGCUAGAGGCGAACCAUUGCUAGGUCAAGGGGAUACGGUAGCUGCGCUGUGCUAGAGAACCUCCAAACAAGCUCGGGGUCCAUUUGUAGGAGAACCUGGGGUAGUCAAGCUUCCAAGACUGCAGACACAUCCAAGUGAGACACUGCAUGGGGUAGGGUGGCUGGUGGUUGGAGUUUGGUUGUUGAGGUUUUUUAGGGGGUUUUAGCUUAGUUGUUGAAGUUUAGUUGAUUUAGAUUGGGUUUGAGCUUGGCGAUUGUAGGAUGGUUUCAGUGGUUCUAUUUGGCUUUGGGUUGUUUGCUUGAGGUCAUUUUGGUCAGGUGAUGUCUUUUGGUUUCCUAUUUUCGAGGUUGGUUUAGAUGGGUUGUUUUAGGUAGUUUUAUCCUUUAUCAGAUUGUUUUGAAGUUGUUUGAGAUUGUUUAAUGGUUGUUUUAGGUUAAGAUUGGUUGGUUUUGGUUUGUUUAGCUUGUUUGGUUACAGGUUGCUUAAGGUUGGCUGAGAAAUGCCAGUUUAUGUAGUUUUAGAUUGUUUUAGGUAGGAUUUUUUAGAUCAUUUGGUUUUGGGUAGGUUUGUUUUAGGGUGUUUUGGUUGGUUUCUUUUGUUUGGUUUAGGUAAUUUGUUGUAGAUUGUUUAAGGUUCUGCUUAGGUUGUUGGUGGCUGAUUGAAGUUUUUUAAGGCAGACUGGUUUAGGUUGUUUAAGAUUGGUUUAGGUGAGUUGUUCUGUGCUGAUUCAGGUAGGCUGUUCUAGCUAAGUUUAGGGCCACCUCGUGGAGCAGCAGGCGCCCAGCCCAAAUGGCCCAAAGAAGCCGUGGCAAGGGGCCGUGCUCAGCGCUGCAGAGGAAAGCAAAAAACCCCCGGAGACGCUUGCUGUCCCACCUGGGGGGGAAAAAAAGCCUUCCUCCCCCCAGCUGCGGGGCACGAGAGGCCAUCUUCCUGGUGCUUGAGCAGCAGGCAGGAACCGAGCCAAAAGGGCCCAGAGGAGCUGUGCAAAGUGGUCAUGCUCAGUGCUGCAGAGGAAGGCAAAAAACCCCCGGGGACCAGUGCCAAUCUGCCCCGGGGGAAAAAAUUCCUUCCUGACCCCAGUGCUGGCGAUCGGCUGUUCCCUGAGCAUGUGAGCCAGACCUGGCUCCUCGUCCCACAGGCUGCUCACGCCUCCCAGGACCUGCCUAAGCCCUAGCCUAUCCUACCCUGUCCUACCUUGAGCCGGAGCCAUCUCCCGGACUUCCGAGAGUGCCCAAGUGCCUGGUGGGACACCAGUGGGUGUUGCAAGCACAGAAGAAAUUCCCUUGGUCUCUCCACCGCUACCCAGUUGAAAAGGAUUUCCAUCCAUGAGCUGAGCUUGGAAGGUGGCCCUGCCAGCAGAUCACCUUGCAGUGGAGAACCUCCAGCAGCCUCAUGCAAGCUCUUCCUCCCUCAGCCCCUGCCCUGUGAUUCCACCAGCUCCUCAAGUGCUUCCUGUGGGAUGUGUUGGGGCUGCCCCCGGGCCAGCUCUGGCAGUGGACAGGGGACCCGGCUGCUCCUUUUGGUCCUGCUCGGGGCAUUGUGAGCGCUGCAUUGCCGGGUGCUGGCAUUGUGACACGGGGGUGACAGAGCCACGCGUGUGCAGUCCCGCCCACCCCAACUCCGCCCAGCACCUUUGGGAGGAAGCCUUUGGGGUGCUGGCCCCAAAUCAGUCCCUGUCAUCUACAAGACAGGGGAGUAAUCAACCUAACCGUGUCCCUCUUUUGCCAAAACACAGUGUGGAUUUGUUGCCAGUCCAGCCUUACUUCCAGUACUUCUUCCUGCAGCCCUGUUACGAAUUCCUGACCAAACCUGGGAAGAAGAAACAAAAUGCCAGAGAUGAGAUUACUGAAUGCAACAAGAAGACACAACAGAGAUGACGGAGGAAAACAGCAAGAGGGGAAGGAGAGGAGGAGCAGAGGACAUGACUUCACUGACCUGCUUCCCGUAGCAGUUCCCCAAGUACAGCUGAAGCCAGUUGCAGUUUCCUGUUGCAACUGCAGAGAGCAGUCGAGACCAGACGGAUCAGAGGAUUUCCAGACGUUUUUCUUUCAAAUUGUCUUCCCCCGUUUCUCAGGAAAAAAGUCUUGAUCUGAGCAUCUUACUCAAAACAGCAGCUGAUACCAUUUUUCAUUAUGAAGUACUCUACAUGAUUUGCCUAUUCUUGUUCCUUCAGAAACUUGUUUCUUGAAUGACAUGGAAGAAUAAACAGCUCAUUUCAGGGCUGGAUCAGAAUUCAGUAAUUCUGUGAAUGACAUCCAAAACAGAUACUGACUGAACAAUAUCCUCACAGUGCAAGGAUAUUUUAUUCCUUCAGAGGUAGAUGGAAGUGUUCCUGUGGAACACUUGCUACGGUAUUUGCAUGAUGCUAACCUACGUGGGGAGAGGCAGGAAUGUACAAUGAUUUGGCGCAGCAAACUGGCAAUAUGAGCUAUUGCGCAGGAAUGCACAAAUGCUUGGAUGUUAGUGGAUACACAGAACUCAGUCACUUGAUUCAAGUGUGAUCAGAAAGAAAAGGGCUAUAAAGAAGAGACACCUCGUUUUUCUUUAUCAUAUGCUUCAUGUUUUAUAAAGAUGAGACAUAACUUGUUGAAAAUGAUUAAUUUCAAGCUAGUGUCUAUCAAAUAUUUCCUAUGUCAUGUAGGAAGGUUAGAUUAUGCAAUUACCCACAAACAUUGUUUUAGUCUCUAUGGUUACUCAGGUGAUUCUGGCAUUUUUCUUCCACACCAUUGGUUGCCAAGGAUACAAGUUGUUAUAAAAUACAGCAGCUAUAAGACAAGAUAUAGUCCUCCUGCAGGCAGCAGUUAUGUAUAAUAAAUCUUGCUUGAAGCAGCAUUUGAAUCCUGAAGGCGUUCUCUCUGGAGUUCUUGGAGUUAACCAAGCUAAUAAGUUUGUUAUUAAAGGAGAGGAUGCUCACCAAAGCUAUCAAAGAUAAAACGUAUAUGGCAUGACUACAUUGCUUGCAAUAAAGCGCUUGAGUUCCUUCUGGCAAAGACUAAAAUAUGCUGAUCCUAACUAUAUUAUUCUCAAAUAGAAUUCCAAUCCAGACCAACAGAGCAGAAUGCUUUCUAUAUUUAAGGACAAUAUUCCCUUAUCAAGAGGGAUAUUGUCCUGCACUGUAAAACAGCUACUUGUAAACAAGAAUCACAAAUAUUUGCUCAUGUCUGCUGCACUACGUAAACUGGCAAAAGGAGACAAAACUGCCUAUAAAUGCGAAAAGUGACAGAACAGGAAGCGCACUCAGCUGUGUUUACAUUUUUCUGCUCAUAAAAUUGCAAAGACAACUUUAUGCGGAUUUUCAUAUGUCUGAGUUAUCUGAACUGCAUGGAGGUUACAGAGGUGAAACAGCUGAACUGUAUUCAGAAACUGAGCCCCUAAUGAUCUAUAUCACAUCGCGUGUUAAAAAUAGAUGCUGUUUGAAAUCGUGCAGUUCAUAUAUAUUAAAAUAUAACCCCCUGUAUUUUCAUUGGAACACAGUUAUCUAACAUCUAAGUUUUUCAGUUCUUUCAAAUUUAAAAAGUAAAAAAAUACAUGUGCUUUUCGAGACCCGUGACCCCAGAAAAACCACCAACUUGCUGAAAAUCAAUCGCUUCUUAUUGUGUAAAAACUCAACAAUUGCUACAGUGUGCAUUAUAUCAUCCUAGUAGCUAUAAUAUUUACCCUUAUAAAGACAAAGUGAAAUAAAAUUUAAAAAAACCUUCUGCAUAUUGUUGCUGUCUGAAAUGACAGAACACAUUUUUCAGCCAUCAUGUGACUCUGAAUUAAAAAAUACCUUUUCUCUCAUGGAAGCUUCCUUUUUUUACAGAUGUUGAUUUUCUGCUUUAAGUUCUAGAAAUCCUGAGUAUCAAGUAUCUAAACUGAAAUAUUGAAUUGCUUUUGUUGUGUCUUGUGAUUUUUGGAACUGUUCUUGUCAGUGAACAUCUCCAUUUCCUUUUAUAGGAUGGUGUAUUUAAGUCCAAUCACACAGACCUUUUUUUUUUUUUAAUCCAUACUGAAUUUUAUUUGUAAUUUAGUCGUAUUAUAAACAAAAUAUUGUUGACAGUAACUUUUUAAAUGCACAAGUUGUAUGCUAUAAUUAGAAAAAAUAAAUAUUAAAAAAACACCAGAAA